GAAAGUUUCACAUGGUACCCUGAGAGUGCUCACGGUUAUGUGUUGAUAAAAUGAAAAAUUGAGGAAGUCUGAAGGAGCCUUUGCUCCCAGGGUUCUUGCCAGCCUUACUCAAUAGGUCCGGCCAAACCAUACAGCCUGAGUGGGAGCUGCCUGGCUGCGAUGACUCAUCUUGGUUAUCAAUGUGACUUGAUCUAGAAUCAACUAAACACAAGCAGCUGGGCACUCCUGUGAGGGACUUUCUUGAUCACAUUAUUUGAAGCAGGAAGACCCGCCCUACCCGUGGGCAGCACCUUCUGGUGGCAGCCCACAUAAAAGGACGUGGAAGAAGGAAACUUUCACUCUUUACCGGCUGCCCUCGCUCUCACUGGCAGGUUCUGCCCUGAUGUUGGAACCAACUUCUUCAGGCUUCCAAAGCAGACAGAAGACCAGCAGUUCUCCAAGAAUCCUCCAGGCCUUUUGCGUCAAAUUGGAACUUCUAAAACAUCCAGCACUGGGAACUAUCAGUGUGAGACAGCCAUUGUUGGACUACAAAAACCACGUCAUGUAAGCCAAUCUAGUGAACUCCCCUUAAUAUAAAUUCGCUCUAACAGUUCUGUGUCUUUAGAGGACCAUGACUGAUACACUGCAGAACAGGUCAACUUCCAGCAGGCUUAGUCUUUGCUGCCCAAGUCUGUCUUCAUCUUGCUCUUCUCCCUUCUGAGACUCCCUUCCCACGUCAUGCAGGGCUUCCUGGCCUCAGAGAGGAUGCAGCAGGGUGAGGGGAAGGGCGUGUGAUUCUGUAACUGGACCAGUGCAUGAACUCAAGGUCGAGGUCUAGCUAUGGGACGCAUGACAACUGGAAAGCAGUGCCCCACCCAGGCUGCUUGAAGCUGCAUCCACCAACCAAACCGGGCAAGGGCCAGAGUUGUCAGUCUGUGGAUCGGAAGAGAUUCAUGCUACAGGAUGACAGAGUGUGUCUGAUCAACUCCAAGUUUCUGGCAUCCGUCACCUGCCUGACUUCACAUACCUGCCCAUCACUUUGUCUUCGCGUGCACCCACAGAUAUUACCACUGAGACAGGUACCUAGUGGAGCAGCUUGUACCUCAUAUCUUCUCAUGGACUUGAUGGGAUCCUACAGGAAACUGAAUUCCAGUGUCAGUGUCACUCCCUCUGCUCUUGGACUCUAAGCCAAGAGCCUAAGGCAACUCUGUCCUACAGAGGUGAUGAACACCAUGUAAGAAGAGGUCACGAAAACUCCAUCUACAUCAUCUUGGUUAUUAAACUCAAGCAGAACUGAUACUGCCCCAA